GGAGGAAAAUAAGGACAAGUGACGUCACUUUGUUUACUCGAUAGAUGAUGAUGAUCGAGUAGCUCUACGAUUGUUGUUUACUCGAUAGUGUUUCUGCAUGUGUGUAUUUGAUCAGUUUAUGGACUCUGCGUUUGAUUUGAGUUUGUUUGAUUGGCAAUUGGGGCUUUCUUAGUUUGUGUUGGAUUUUCUCUCCGAGUACAAUUGAUUCAUUGAUACUGGUUUCAUGUAUCUCAAUGCUGGGUCGUUCUGCAUUGCUCAGUUUCGAAACUCAGACAGUUUAGCAUUGUGUUCUUCCUUUAUGGAUCAUGCAAGUACCAAUCAAAAUUUCUCAACAGUGGGGAACUCUUUUAUCUGUGGUCUCUGCUCCUUCACAUGGAUAGGUUCCCAUUAAUGUCCACAUUUCCAUUCCUACAGCCUGAGGAGUGGAACCUGAUGGAGGCUUGUUUCAACCACACAUACGUUAGUCUAUGUCGAGGCUGGUAAUCUAGCUGGAAACUCGAAGGCGAUGGACAAAAAAAAACUGCAAAAGGAAUCCUUACUGAGAGUGAAGUGAUCAGUCGGCAUUCUCUGGGAAAUGUCUCAAGGUAUUCUUGCCGCUGGGUUUGUAUUCUUACCAGUUUACUGAAAUCCAGUAAGUGCUCAAUGCUCUAGAAAUAGAAUUGGUUUUUACUGGUUUCAAA